rnacentral:lncRNA from 1 species
UUUUUUUUUUUGGCUUUUUGCCAUUCCUUGGGCUGCUCUCUCGGCAUAUGGAGGUUCCCAGGCUAGGGGUCGAAUCGGAGCUGUAGCUGCUGGCCUAUGCCAGAGCCACAGCAACGCGGGAUCCGAGCCUCGUCUGCAACCUACACCACAGCUCAUGGCAAUGCUGGAUCCUUAACCCACUGAGCGAGGCCAGGGAUCGAACCUGCAGCAACCUCAUGGUUCCUGGUUGGAUUCGUUAACCACUGCGCCAUGACAGGAACUCCUUAUUUAGUCUUCUAUCUAACUAUCCAUACACUACACAUUGAGAGGCUUUUUUUAAUCAAAAAUUUAACCAGUAUUCCUAGAUAAAUAAUUUCAACACAAUCUAGAUGCUCUUAAAUUGAAAACAAUUCUUGGGGAGUUCCCGUCAUGGCACAGCAGAAACGAAUACGACUAGGAACCAAGAGGUAUGGGUUCAAGCUCCGUGGGUUAAGGAUCCAGUGUUGCCAUGAGCCAUGGUGUAGGUCUCAGAUGCAGCUCGGAUCUAGUGUUGCUGUGGCUCUGGCAUAGGCUGGUGGCAACAGCUUGGAUUAGACCCCUAGCUUGGGAACCUCCAUAUGCCGCAGAUGCAGCUCUAAAAAGACAAAAGACAAAAAAAUAAAAUAAAAUUGAAAACAAUUCUAUAAGAGAUUCCUAAUAAUCAUUUUCUUUGUGCCAUAUUUUUAGCCCUCAAAGACUUCGAACUGUUAAACUUCUGAAUCCAUCUCACAUAAACCAUCUUCAAUGAAAACUUGCAGCCGGAUUGAAAAAAAAUCAACACAUCACACAAUCAUCAGGCAUCCUCUCAAUAGUAUGCUGUAUUUUAAUUUUUGCAUAAUUAAAAAAUUCUAAUAAAAGAAAAUUUGAAGGCAAAAAUUAACUGCCUUUUUUUUUGGGUGCACACCAGAUUUAGUAUUUACAAUAUUUAUCUACAUUUAAGUAGACUCUCUUCAUGAUAUUUUAACAGUUCAUAUAAUUUUAGACUAGAAACAACUUCAUUCAAUUCUUAUAGUUUUCAAUGCACUGACACUGCACACAUUUUGUCAGAUUUAUCAAAAUAGAGUUUAUAAGCACAAUUCAUAUGCAUAAUUACCUCUCUGUGAUGGAUUGGUAAUAAAAGACAAACAACCAAAAAAACAAACAAACAAACAAAAAACCCAGCAAAACCCAACUAAGUAUCCAUGACAGAUCGUUGAAAAGAGUUGUGCUAUGAGAUUUCUUGAGAAAUAACAUUUUGAAAUUUCUGCAUUUCUAAAGUAUUUGUUAAUAUUCUGAUAACCCUUUUGUUUGCUCUUGUGUUCUGCUUUUCACUGAAAAUCUGAUAAAAGUUCAACUCUUGUGCCCCCGAGCAAGUUUACAUCUUUUAUAGUUUAUAUGUUGGUGUGCGUCCAUUCGGUGUGUCUGUUUCACUAAUCUGCAUUGAAAUUUGCUACUGAUAAAAUAUACUCCAUUGAUAGACGAAUGGAUAAAGAAGAUGUGGUACGUAUGAAACAUGGAAUAUUACUCAGCCAUGAAAAGCAGGAAAUAAUGCCAUUUACAGCAACAUGGAUGCAACUGACAAUUCGCAUACCAAGUAAAGUCGGAGAAAGAUACAGAUACGCUAUCACACAUAUGUGGAAUCUAAAACAUGGUGUAAAGUAACUUAUUUCCAAAACAAACAGACCCAGACACAGAAAACAAAUUUAUGAUUAACAAAGGGAAAAGGGGAAUAAAAUAGGAAUUGGGAUGACCCUGUGCACAUUACUACAUAUGAAACAAACAAGGUCCUCCUGGAUGGUACAGGGAACUCUGUUGAGUAUCUUGUAAUAACCUAUAAUGGAACAGAAUGUGGAAAAGUGAAUCACUCUGCUGUUACAUCUGAAAUUAACACAACAUUGUAAAUCAACUAUACUUCAAUGAAAAAAGAAACACCCAAUACUGAGAAAGUUGAAAGGUUGGUUUGCAAUACAAAUAAGGCAACAGAAUCGUGAAAGGAUUCCAAGAAGAGUUAAGAAUUCAAAAUAAUCAGUGUAAAAGCCUCAUCUGCAUUCCUAGAAAAUAUACUAGGGUUCAUAUCCCCAUACAUUUUAAUUUUGGCAUACAAUGCACCAUUAUUCUUUUAUACUAGGCUUGGAUUUGAAACAUAAAUUCAUGGCUAUGGAAUGAGCAGGAGAUCUACAAUCACAAAACCACUAUUUAUUGUCGAUUUAACAUACACGAUGAGGCGUGCAAGGUGCUAGGAUAUGCGUUGUCUCAUUAUUUCUCAUGGUAAUUUUGUAAAUUAGCUGUUGUUCUUGCCAUGUGGUAGAUUUAAUUCUCACGGCCUCAGGAACAGCUGGCAAGAACUCUGCCAUUAAUCUUCAAAGGUCAACGAUCUUACGUAAAAUUAUGCAAAUAUGACUGAGAGCAUUUGGAUGGAAAAAAUUUAAGGACCUGAACUUUAAAGGAAAUACCGGCUUUAGAAAUUUCUAUGGAAAACAACACCCACGAGUUUACUUCUAAAAAUGGCUUUUCAUCAUGCAUUUUAAAAGAUCAAAUCCCCUCAAAUAAACCACCGUGGCCAAACUCUUAUUUCCCAGGAAACACGCAUCAAUUGAAAAGUAGAAAGAACCUUGUGAAUAACCAAAAGUAUGACUCAGUGUUUCCCAGAGAAAUAUUAAUGAAAAUAACUUCUCAUCCAUAACUCCAGCAGUAACAUAAAUCCUAAUUAAAAUUACCUUGCAAGUACUGUCCUGUUAAAUGAUGAUUAACAGUCUGAAAUUUCUUUGAAGUUUGAGUUGUUAGGGGUAAGAUUGCCUUAUGUAAUGCCUUUAAAAUAAAAUAGUCCUUCUCUGAAUUCUAAACUGCUCUUCUGAGACUAUAGCUAUAAUACAAUAAUUGGCAUUAUCUCUGGAAAUCGGUGUCUCCCGCCUUCUCAUGUGUGUUAAAAUGAGAAUAAAUCAGACAUCUACAUGGAAUAGUCAUAGAUUUGGUUCAAGCCAAUCCCCUCUUAGAGAACAAAUUAAAAUUUACAUGGUCAAAAAAUCUUUUCAAUCUUAAAAAAACAAAAACAAAAAACAAAAACCCAUACUUGGAGAUUUUGGCACCAAUAGGGAUGAGAAGGUGAUGCCAUUGCCUGAGGUUCAUGGGACAGUUAUUUUUUUCUGAUUGCCUGUCUACAGGUGUGAUAAUUUAUUAGUAGUCUCUGGACAAAACUCUAAUUUACAAAGGGCCAAUACAUACCCAAUACACCCCUGUGUUCACUGCAGCACUAUUCACAAUGUCCAAGACAUAGAAGCAACCUAAGUGUCCAUCAACAGAGGAAUGGAUUAAGAAGAUGUGGUACAUAUACACAAUGGAAUACUACGCAGCCAUAAAAAGAACAAAAUAAUGUCAUGUGCAGCAACAUGGAUGGAUCCCAAUACUAUUAUACUAAAAAGUGAAGUCAGAAAAAGACAAAUACCAUAUGGUAUCACUUUCAUGUGGAAUCUAAAAUAUGGCACAGAUGAUCCUGUCAACAAAACAGAAACAGACAGCCAUGAAGAACAGACUUGUAGCUGCCAAAGGGAACAGGGUAGACGGAGGGAUGAAGUGGGAGUUUGGGGUUAACAAAUGCCAACGAUUGCAUAUAGAAUGGAUAAACAACAAAGAAAAAAAAUAGUCUACAGCAACGGCUACCCUAUCUUUAGCAAUUUAUGUAGCUACAUGAAAUGGUCAGAGUUUUUCCUAUGGAAAUGGUGUUAUACAAUUUUUAUUUUUCAGAGACAUUUUGGGGGGAACAGGACCUCAUGCCAUAGAAAGCACAUAACCUGGCAUUCAACGUGGAGCAGGAAGCAUCGUGGGUUUUUGGCCAUAGUGUACCUGGCCAACGUUAGGUUGAAGAGUCACAAAACAGUCAGGAAUCAUUUCAUUAAGCAGAUGUUUAAAAGAUGAGGCUGCAGGAGUUCCUGCUGUGGCGUGAAGGGGUUUCGGCAGAGCCAGCACACAGGUCCGAUGCCUGGCCUGGCACAGUGGGUUAAAGGAGCUGGUAUGUAGGUGGCAACUGCGGCUUGGAUCCAAUCCCUGGCCUGGGAACGCCAUAUGCUGCAAGGUGGCCAAAAAUAAAUAAAUGCAUAACUAAAUAAGGCUGCAAAAUGAGCUUUCUAAGAAAAACGGCAGGGCCCAAAGCAUAGCUCCCAAUGCAUGCUAUCUUUCAGAACAGUCAAUUUGGAGAGGUGUGUGCAUGGCACUUCGGAGGCCCCCAAACGCACUUUGGUUUUCUCUUUUCAAUGUGCCCUAAGAGUUGGUCGAGUCAAGCUACCAUUUAUUUAUAGCCGCACCUUGUUGCUGAAUGAAAACUGCAUCAUACAAGUGAUUACUAGUUCUACUCAGCAGAACCUUGGCUGUCGCCACCUACAAACCGCUCCUUAAGGAUGAAGAGCUGACUCUUCGCAAGAUACGGAAAAUAAAUGACUGUGGGCUUUCAAGCAAUUUAAAGAGAACAGAAAAAAAAACAGGUUCCAGCUGUCUUCCUUUACUGCAGGUAAGAAUGUUGCCUCGGAAGUGACGACACAUCGCUAUAUAAUGAUGCCCCGCUGGGGUUUGAGGGGUACAGAGUUUCUGAUACAGUUGCAAAACUCUAUCAGGCUAAUAAUGUAACACUCAACACGGACACAUGUUCUCCAUUGCACUAUUACUUAUUAAACUGUUUGUCAACCACUGUAGCCUUGCCUGGGUGAAAGGUUUCAUCAAUCGUGGUCCAUCCAGAUAAUGCAAUGUUAAUCCACGCAACAACGAAAUGCGCUAUCAAGCCAUGGAAAGACAGGAAGGAACCUGAGAUGUGGACUCUUAAGUGAAAGAAGCCUGUCCAAAGGGGCCACAGACUGUGUGAUACCAACCCCGUGCCAUCCUAGAAAACACAGAAUGACACAGGCAGUAAAAGAAUCAGUGAUGCUCCAGGGUUAGGGAGCAGGGAGGCGUGAACAGGUGGAACACAAAAAAUGUUUAGGGCAGUGAAGCUGCUCUGUAUGAUUCUGUAAUGAUGGAUACACUGUUCAAACCCACAGCAUGUCCAACACCAAGAGUGGCCGUAAGGGUUAUUGAGAGUGGUAGCAGUCAGUUCAGGUGCAUCCUCGGUCAGAGGUGUGCUGCUCUGAUGGGGGAGGUUGAUAAAAGGGAAGAGGCCAUUGUUUUACAGGAAAUCUCUGGAUCUUCCUCUCCAUUUUGUUCUAGAUCUAAAACUGCUCUCAAAAAAUAAAGUCUGGGGAGUUCCCUGGUGGCACAGCAGGUUAAAGACCCCGGUGUUGUCACAGGCUAUGGUGUGAGUGCCUCAGGCACAGCCAAAAUAAUAGUAAUAAUAGGAGUUCCCUCUUUUGCUCAGCAGAAAGGAAUCUGACUAUAUGCAUGAGGAUAUGGGCUUGAUCCCGGCCCCGCUCAGUGGAUUAAGGAUCUGGCAUUGCCGUGAGCUGCGGUGUAGGUUGCAGACAUGGUUCAGAUCCUGCGUUGCUGUGGCUGUGGUGUAGGCUGGCGGCUGUAGCUCCAAUUGGACCCCUAGCCUGGGAACCUCUGUAUGCCAUGGGUGUACCCCUAAAAGGCAAAAAAAAGAAAGAAAGAAAGACAGACAGACAGACAGACAGAAAUUGCUUCCNGAAAUUGCUUCCCAUUUAGGACAUACUGAGUAUCA